UGGGGAAUUUUGGACAAUGGGCGAAAGCCUGAUCCAGCAAUGCCGCGUGUGUGAAGAAGGCCUUCGGGUUGUAAAGCACUUUUGUCCGGAAAGAAAUGGCUCUGGUUAAUACCUGGGGUCGAUGACGGUACCGGAAGAAUAAGGACCGGCUAACUACGUGCCAGCAGCCGCGGUAAUACGUAGGGUCCAAGCGUUAAUCGGAAUUACUGGGCGUAAAGCGUGCGCAGGCGGUUGUGCAAGACCGAUGUGAAAUCCCCGAGCUUAACUUGGGAAUUGCAUUGGUGACUGCACGGCUAGAGUGUGUCAGAGGGGGGUAGAAUUCCACGUGUAGCAGUGACAUGCGUAGAGAUGUGGAGGAAUACCGAUGGCGAAGGCAGCCCCCUGGGAUAACACUGACGCUCAUGCACGAAAGCGUGGGGAGCAAACAGG
rnacentral:rRNA from 1 species